AUUGAACGCUGGCGGCAUGCCUUACACAUGCAAGUCGAACGGUAACGCGGGGCAACCUGGCGACGAGUGGCGAACGGGUGAGUAAUGCAUCGGAACGUACCCAGUUGUGGGGGAUAGCUCGGCGAAAGCCGGAUUAAUACCGCAUACGACCUACGGGUGAAAGCGGGGGAUCGCAAGACCUCGCGCAGUUGGAGCGGCCGAUGUCAGAGUAGGUUGUUGGUGGGGUAAAGGCUCACCAAGCCGACGAUCUGUAGCUGGUCUGAGAGGACGACCAGCCACACUGGGACUUAGACACGGACCAGACGCCUACGAGGGACAGCAGUGGGGAAUUUUGGACAAUGGGGGCAACCCUGAGUCAGCCAGGCCGCGUGCGGGAAGAAGGCCUUCGGGUUGUAAACCGCUUUUGUCGGGUAAGAAAUCUUCCGGGCUAAUACCCCGGGAGGAUGACGGUACCCGAAGAAUAAGCACCGGCUAACUACGUGCCAGCCGCCGCCGUAA
rnacentral:rRNA from 1 species